rnacentral:rRNA from 1 species
UACAGGGGAUGCAAGUGUUAUCCGGAAUUAUUUGGCGUAAAGCGUCUGUAGGCGGAUAAAUAAGUCUUUUGUUAAAUAUUUGUGACUUAACCCCAAAAAGGCAAAAGAAACUGUUUAUCUUGAGAUUAGAAGAAGUAAAAGGAAUUUUCAGUGGAGCGGUGAAAUGUGUUGAUAUUGAAAGGAACACCAAUGGCGAAAGCAUUUUACUACUCUAAGUACUGACGCUGAGAGACGAAAGCUAGGGGAGCAAACGGG